AAGAAUGGGUGAGGGUGGGUCCCCAGAGGAAAAUGAGGGGCUGCUGCUAGUCAAAGCGGGCCUGAGCAUGGACAGGCACAAACCAGACAGCUCUGCGGGUGCCUGCGGGCCCACACAGGGCGCCAGGGGGGCCAGGCGGGCAGGGACAAAGCUUCAGGCAGACUACCUUCCUGUGUAUCUGGUUUGUAGAUUCGGCCCGCUGUCAGAUUGUGUUUGGGGAGCAGCUGCUGCUGCUAAGUGAGUUUGGACAUUCUUGUUGUGGACAAAGGGAGGCAUAUCCAGAGACGAGGCUGAGGGUGUGUCCCCACUGCAAGGAGACUCAGGACAUGAGCACUCCUAGAAUGAGCAUUUAUUGGGCAUCUCCUGUGGGCCGGACCUGGGAUUACAGCAGGAACGAGACAAAGACCUCUCCCUGGGGCUCACGUUCAAAUUAGGCAGAUGGCAACACGAGAGUAAGUCCAUACUGUGCUGGGUCAUGUUGCAGUCACACAGGAAACGGCACAGGAAAAUGUCAUAGAGCAAUAGGGGUUAGGGGACACUUGGAUGGCCAGGGAGGGUCUCUGUGGGGAAGUGACAUUUGAGCUGAGAUCCUGGAGAAGGAAGCCCAGGAAAGGAGCACCCUGGCAGAGGGAAUAGCACGUGUAAAGGCUCCAACACGGGACGGCGUUUUGUAUAUUUGAGAAACAGACGGCAUCAGCUUCGGAGCCCAGUCAGGAAGGGGGAGAGCAGACGAGGGCGAGGAAGGGGUACGUGCCGCAGGCUGUACGGGCCCCAUCAAGGAGGUCUGAGCACUGGUCCCACACAGAGAGGAGGUACCAAGAGGUGGCAAGCUGGCUGUAUGAGGCCAGAGCGAGGCCUGGCUCAAGGGUGUAGCUGUGACCGCUAUCGGAAGGGAGUUUCAAUUCCAGCUCACUUCGAGAGAAGACUUUUCCAUCAGUCAGUGGCAUCCUACUGCGGAAUGGAUGGCCUGGAGGUGGUGAGCUCUCUGUCCCCAGAGGUAUGCAACCAAGAAACAGUGGCAGAACAGGCUAGAAAGCUGGGAGUGGAUGACUCUGUGAGAUCAGCAGAGAAAUACAGAACCAAACACGAUAAUAACGCUUAACAAAGUUUACGGUGGCAAAGGGCCACUUAGAACAUUUUAGCGGCAGCCUGCUGUGAUCAGAGCAAUCUCUGGAAAUGAUUUAUUUACAUAUAAAAAUGAGACAUUUCUCAACAACCUCGAGACAGCCCCUGGGGCGAGGCUCUCAUUGGACAGCGCCUCCCCCGGGUCCGGGCUGCUCAGCCCCCGGUCGCCUCCAGCCUCGGCAGGGGGCUGAUUGCCUCUCUGAGGGGAGGCGGGCGGCUGCAGCCCGCCCUGCCAGCAUUCCGGAGAGUUCCUUCUCCAAAAUAAACCUCGCCUAAGCAUUUAAAUGUGCGGCUGAGCAUGAAGUACAGUCAACAAUUUUAUUCCAAGAAUGCAAAUGAAUCCCUGAGGGGCCAGGAAGAGGCGGAAUGCCCUGGCCCAGAAGCUUUUUUUUUUUUUAAGAGUGUGAGUAGGACACAGCAAAUUCCACCGCCUCGAGCCAGAAUUGGGGAAACUGAGGCUGGGGCAUCAGCUCAAGGUCGCAGAGCCGGGAAAAGGCAGAGUGGGCUGGAACGUGGCUGCCAGAUGCUUUCCACCCCGCAUAGAACCACCCCACCAGGGUGCUAUUCCUGUGCACAGAGCACGCUCCCCGAUGUAGGCCAGUAGCCCCGGAAGGACAGAUGUGUGAGAUGGAGAUCCAAAGACGCUUCGGAAGGCUGCUGAACACAAACACGCUCGCGUUGGCCCUCUGCUGGCAGCAGCUGGCUUGCCUUCGGGAAUCUCCCUCCGCACACUCCAAGGUGUGUUCCAGCUGACCCCCCCUUUGCUGUGAUGGCUCAAAUCCCAAGUCCUCCACUCACCAGCUCUAAGACACCGGAUGAGACAUUUAACCUCUUCUUGUCCUGAUUUCCUCCUCUGUAAAAUGGGGAGCACGCUGGGACCUGCUUCAGAGCGGUUACGAGUUUGAAAUGAGUUCAGAUACAGAAAACACUUGGAACAGCGCCUGCAUGCUCCAGGAAAGGAAUUCACAUAAAGUAGACACCUUAGGAAAUGAGCAUUGGAGUGACACUCAAAGAACCCCGAGACAGGGAGACGUGGAAAACAGAUGUGCAUUUGGAGGUGAAAGAAGCUGAAAAAUCGUUGCUGGCAGUGCUGUUCCUGGAAGGGAGACGAAGGCGGGAAGACACAUUUGGGUUACAGGAAGAGGCGGCCCCUCAUGCAGCCUCUUUAGUCUAUAAGGGCCCAGGGCUCUGCACUGAAAGCACUAAUUGGAUUCCAUUAAAGCGAAAUAGAUUUCCUAGCACUGGAAGAGCCAGUUCAUUAAUUUCACACAUGCUCUACUGGAGGAAGGCAUGGGGAAGGGCAGCCAGCCCCAGUCUCCCCAGGCUAAGAUCAGAGCUGGGAGCCCGCUGCAGUUUGGUGCAGAGCCUGGAUUCUGAGCACCUGCUCCAUGCCAGUGCCUGGGCUGGCCAUCGGGGGUGCAGUGAUGAACCAGAUACAACCACCACCUCCGGUAACUCGGUCUUGGAGGAGGCAGCCACACAAGGCAGGGCGUGCACAGUGACAGGGUGCUGGACCAGGAUGUGUUCCAGGUACUGGACAUCCUGUGGAGCAGACCGACCUGGUGCUGGAGCUGAGAAGAGUGGUCUGGGCUGGAAUUUUAAAUUGGGGACGUUUGAACAUAUAAAAGGUGGUCAAUGCCCAGGUCCGGAUGACGUCACCAGGGGAGAGAGUAGGAGGGGCGGGGUCAUCUUAGUUCUUUCUUCCUCUCAGCAAGAAUUCCUUCCACACCUUCCACUGACAGGUGGCUCCCCAGCCCCUGCUUGCACGCUCCAAUGACAGGGAGCUCACUACCAGCCACGCCAGUCCUGCCUGCUUUUGGAAGUCCUGGCUGUUAGUUAAAUUCUUUUGUAUGCGGGCCAAAGUCUCCCUUCCCUUUUGAUUUUACUCCUUUGUUCUGAUUCCAUCUUCUGGAGACCCGGCCCGUCCAGUCGGCUCCCUCUUUGCCAUGAUCUGCUAGAACCCACAGAUGUGGUUCACCACACCUUCCUUCUUCUCCGAUAGUGGGGCCCUGGGUUUCUUCUGAGGGUACCGCACCGUCCCCACUGCCGUCUCCCAUCCCAGGAAGCGACAAAGUCUUGUUUUAACGUCUGAACCGUGGCCUUAGAGACCAGAAGGAGAGGGGACACUUAAAACUAAGAGACUUCCCUUCUGUGUCUUUAUUAAACACACCCAGUUCCUUCUGCUACUCUUAGCUGCCUCAGUGGCUACCCCAGAUAUUUUUGUCUCUGGGUUGGGGUCUUCAC